ACCUCACUGCUAUCGGGGUGAGACUAAGCCAUGCAAGUCUAGGCCCAUAGCCAUCUGUGGGCCUGGCGUACGGCUCAGUAACACGUGGCCAACCUACCCCGAGGAGGCGGAUAACCCCGGGAAACUGGGGUAUAAACCGCCAUAGGUGAGGGGUUCUGGAACGACCCUUCGCUGAAAGACGUGCGCGGGGAUGCCUGUGCACGUGCCUCGGGAUGGGGCUGCGGCCCAUCAGGUAGUUGGUGGGGUAACGGCCCACCAAGCCUAUAACGGGUACGGGCCCUGAGAGGGGGAGCCCGGAGAUGGACUCUGAGACAAGAGUCCAGGCCCUACGGGGCGCAGCAGGCGCGAAAACUCCGCAAUGCGCUCACGCGUGACGGGGUUACCCCGAGUGCCACCCUCGUGGUGGCUUUUGCGUGGUCUAAAAAGCCGCGCGAAUAAGCGGGGGGCAAGACGGGUGUCAGCCGCCGCGGUAAUACCCGCUCCGCGAGUGGUGAGGACUAUUACUGGGCUUAAAGCGUCCGUAGCCGGCCCGGCGUGCUCCGCGUUAAAUCCAGCAGCCUAACUGCUGGGCUGCGCGGAUGACUGCCGGGCUUGGGGGUGGGAGAGGGCGGCGGUAUUCCCGGGGUAGGGGUAAAAUCCACUGAUCCCGGGAGGACCACCAGUGGCGAAGGCGGCCGCCCAGAACACGCCCGACGGUGAGGGACGAAAGCUGGGGGAGCGAUCGGGAUUAGAUACCCCGGUAGUCCCAGCCGUAAACGAUGCGGGCUUGGUGUCGGGCUGGCCACGAGCCAGCCCGGUGCAGAAGGGAAACCAUUAAGCCCGCCGCCUGGGGAGUACGGCCGCAAGGCUGAAACUUAAAGGAAUUGGCGGGGGAGCACCACAAGGGGUGGACGUUGCGGCUU
rnacentral:rRNA from 1 species